rnacentral:rRNA from 1 species
UACGAAGGGGGCUAGCGUUGCUCGGAAUUACUGGGCGUAAAGCGCACGUAGGCGGCUUUCUAAGUCGGGGGUGAAAUCCUGGAGCUCAACUCCAGAACUGCCUUCGAUACUGGCGAUCUUGAGUCCGGGAGAGGUGAGUGGAACUCCGAGUGUAGCGGUGAAAUGCGCAGAUAUCAGGAGGAACACCGGUGGCGAAGGCGGUUCUCUGGGAAUGUCCUGACGCUGAGGAGCGAAAGUGUGGGGAGCGAACAGG